GGGGGUGAAAGGCUAAACAAAUCCGGAAAUAGCUGGUUCUCCCCGAAAACUAUUUAGGUAGUGCGUCUUAUAUCACUGACGGGGGUAAAGCACUGUUAUGGCUAGGGGGUCAUCGCGACUUACCAAACCAUGGCAAACUCUGAAUACCGUCAAGUGCGAGUAAGGCAGACAGACAGUGGGUGCUAACGUCCAUUGUCAAGAGGGAAACAACCCAGACCGCCAGCUAAGGUCCCCAAGACACAGUUAAGUGGGAAACGAAGUGGGAAGGCAUAGACAGCUAGGAGGUUGGCUUAGAAGCAGCCACCCUUUUAAAGAAAGCGUAAUAGCUCACUAGUCGAGUCGUCCUGCGCGGAAGAUGUAACGGGGCUCAAACUGUGCACCGAAGCUGCGGAUAUCGAAAGAUAUGGUAGGGGAGCGUUCUGUAGGUCUGUGAAGGUGUCUUGUAAAGGAUGCUGGAGAUAUCAGAAGUGCGAAUGCUGACAUGAGUAGCGAUAAAGGGAGUGAAAAGCUCCCUCGCCGAAAGCCCAAGGUUUCCUACG
rnacentral:rRNA from 1 species